rnacentral:rRNA from 1 species
UACGUAGGGGCCGAGCGUUGUUCGGAUUUACUGGGCGUAAAGGGCUCGUAGGUGGCCAACUAAGUCAGACGUGAAAGCCCCCGGCUCAACUGGGGAGGGUCACGCGAUACUGAUCGACUCGAAGGCAGGAGAGGGAAGUGGAAUUCCCGGUGUAGUGGUGAAAUGCGUAGAUAUCGGGAGGAACACCAGUGGCGAAGGCGACUUCCUGGCCUGUUCUUGACGCUGAGGCGCGAAAGCUAGGGGAGCAAACGGG